CAAAAAUCUUCUGCAACAAUGAAGGCUUGGGCUGAUGAUUAGUGGCUGCAGAACGUUUGGAUGGUCCACAUUUCUGCAUCUUUGUGCAAAACUCACCAAAAUAAAAGCUGCACUGACAGUGGAGAAGAAAAAAUAAUUGUACUAUGGGGAUCUGCAACACCAGAUUAUUAUUGGUCAAUCACUGUUCUCUCUCCUAAACUAAGAUGGAAUGGAUUUCUUUAAUAUUCAAGACUGUGAGCUAAGAUCAUCAGUGAAGACUCAGGAGUUCAAGCUUCCUGGAGUGGGUGAGUUUCCUCAUUUUCUCUCUCUGUUUCCUUUUCUAACUCAGAUUCUUCAGAUUUCCAG